GUAGGUGGCAAGCGUUGUCCGGAAUUAUUGGGCGUAAAGCGCGCGCAGGCGGUUCUUUAAGUCUGAUGUGAAAGCCCACGGCUCAACCGUGGAGGGUCAUUGGAAACUGGAGAACUUGAGUACAGAAGAGGAAAGCGGAAUUCCACGUGUAGCGGUGAGAUGCGUAGAGAUGUGGAGGAACACCAGUGGCGAAGGCGGCUUUCUGGUCUGUAACUGACGCUGAGGCGCGAAAGCGUGGGGAGCAAACAGGAUUAGACACCCUGGUAGUCCACGCCGUAAACGAUGAGUGCUAAGUGUUAGGGGGGUUUUCCGCCCCCCUUAGUGCUGCAGCUAACGCAUUAAGCACUCCGCCUGGGAGUACGGCCGCAAGGCUG
rnacentral:rRNA from 1 species